AGGCGAGUGAGCACGGGAAGCUCAGGGUCGGACUCACCAAGACAGACUUCGUCCCUCCCUGUGCGGCCAACGGGCGCUCAGGGAAUGUUCCAGAACAACUGCAGGUGCAGACCGUGACUCUCCAAAGAGCUCCUCCCCAGUUCCUGGGAAACGCCACAUCUGGAGAAUGCCUAUGCCCCUCUCCCAGCCUUCACCUACGCCUCGCUCGCCCCGCAGUGCUCUCUCUCUGGUCAGGGGCCCAGCUGGAGGCAGGGAGGGGGCUGAGCAGACACAGGGGGAUGGCGUGUGGGGUCCCGGCCGUGCCAGGAGGAGGGAACUGCGGGCAUGGCUGAGCCUGGGUGAGGAGGAAGGUUUCAGCAGCAUUGUCCCCAGCCCCGCCUGGAAGGCCUCCCCCCCCCCCCACCCCGCCACCCCCGGGUCCCAGAGCCUGGGAACCAUAACAACUCUCGGAGAGCUUCCUUUGGGUCCAAUCAUCCUCUCCGGUGCAAGCACGGGACACAUUUUUGCUUCCUUGUGAUUUAUCUGCGAUAACCACGCACCCUACACCUGAAAUCUAGCAACCCCCAUGGCCCGUUGUUCACAUGCGUCUCACAUGCCACCUCCCCCCGAUGUAAAAAUGUAAGAACGUUCUUGGUUAAUAAAAUACGCGUAAUCUAUAAUGAGAUGAAAAAAUAAGAGCCCUCGACGGGUCGUAACCAGGGAAAGGCGGGCGGUGGGGGAGGGGGGUGCAGGUAGUGAUGAUAGGAAGGAGUGAAGGCUUCGUUCCUGCAUCAGGAGCUCAGGAGGGUGUGUGAGGCCGCUGCCCCAGCAGUGUUUUCCGGAAUCGGAGGCCAGGAAGGCCAGGAAGGAGGCAUCGGAACCCAUAGAGGCCUCAUGUCUUUGGAUCUUGCUGUCUAUCCCUGCUUCCUGCUGCCCUAGCCCCUUCUGCCGCGCUCCCCCAGGCCUCAUCACAUCACUGGUGCCCAGAGGAUUGCCCGGCCCCCAGGAGAGUUAGCCGUGGGGAGUAGAAAACGGUGCGCCCAGAACUCCUCAGUGGGCCCGCGAGAUAGGGAGCGACAGGCGUGGGCCCCGGGGUGUGUCGCCGGGACAGAGAAGCGGCCCGGGAGACGUGACAGAGGCCCUGCCUUGGACGUCACAGGCGGCCUGUGAACAUCAGGGUCUAACCCACCAGGCAGGGUGGAAGACUCUAGAAGGGCUGGGGAAAAGCGUUUUUGCAAACUACCUUCCAGCGCCUCAUUUUUGGAUACAGGCGUAGAGUUCAGAUACGUAAAAAAAAUAAACAAAACUCAUCGUCAUCAUCAUCACCCUCGAGUAAAAAUAGAAGUAAACCUAAAACUACAACUUGUAAAUGGGGCAAAACGUCAUUUGAAGAGUUGCUCUUAGGUCAAGUCUGAAAAUACCGUAUUAGUCACCGAAAUCUGGCUUUGAGCUUAAAAUGUCGGAGCGCGGGAUGCUGGGAACACUACCAGUGCAGCAUAAAUAGUGUCGAUCGGGGAGUCGGGUCUGUGAUCCACGGGCUGCCUAGUGAUUGGUGUCUAACUAGUAUCAUGGGGAUCACAGCACAUACUCCACAACUGCCAUCCCAACUGCGUCUUUAUUCUCCCGGACUCACUGCCAGACAUCUCUUUUGUGUCCUCGCGCAGCCCAGGACGUCAGGGGUUUGAUGCUGUUUGGAUGCUUCGGUGCUUUGUGGAUAUCCUCAUUGAGGCUCAAACUGUCCGGUUUGGAUCGGGAGCUCCUAUAUCGCACGGAGCCCUAACCAAACGUUGAAACCCAAUUUGUAAAGGAGGGGCGUUGGGUCACUUAAGGAAGCAAAGGCUUUUAUCUCGGCGGAGCCAAGUGAAAAACAGCCACGCAGGGACCCAGUGCAUUUCGGAUCUGGUGCAAGCAGGAAACACGGGGCUUCUGGAACCUGGCAACUCGGGAGCUGGAAGUUACUCUGCUUCUACUUUCCUGCUUCACAGCCAGAGAAGGCUCCGGAAAGAAGCGUGUGUGUUUGGAGAGGGGCGUGCAUGCUUCACCUUCAGCCUCUAGCAACCACCACAUCCACGAUUCUGACUAUUUUAGACACCCCGUAGAAGGAGAAUCGUGGAUUAUUCAUCCCCCUACGAGUGGCUUCUCUCACCCAGCAUAAUGUCCCCAAGCUUCACCCAUGUCGCCGCACAAGGCAGGACAUCCUUCUCUGUAAGGUUGAGUAAUAUUCCACUGCAUGUAUAUGCCGCAUUUUCUCUAUACGUCUACAAAAGUGCCCCAAAUUCCAGUUAUACAAGAUGUCAAGUUCCAAACAUCUGCUUUCCAACAUUCUACCUGUAGAUAGAAUGAUGUAUGAUACACUGAAAAAUCUGGCAGGGGGGGUAGAAGGCGUGUGAAGUGUUCUAACCACAAUAAUAAUAAUGAUAAACCUUAGAUUGUCUUAUUUUUCGCUUUUCACUCCUUCCCCUGUGCGAUUACACAUUCUCGUCCUCGCCAUGUGACUGACAGUGUGCCCUGCAGGUGUUCCCCCCCCCCAACCCCUCCCCAGGAGGCUCGGCCACCGAAGAGUGAGCGGAGGGACAUCUGCCUCAGCCACACGGAGGGGUAGAGUGGUUGGGCCGAGCCCCUGACUCCCCCUGCUCAGCCACCGGAAGGUGCAUCCCGGGCCACCCCGGGCACUGUGGCGAGCCAGCAGGAAGACGCAGAGAACACGGCCAGAGCCCAGGCACACAGCAGCCACGUGUCACAGGGGCAAGCGGUCCGUGCUCGCUGUUUGAAGCCACCGGGCCGCGGGGGCUGUUGGCCAAGAAGCACAAAAGCGAAUUAGUACAUACGGUACAGGGUGGCUUUCUAAAUAAAAUUUGGAAAAGUA